rnacentral:lncRNA from 1 species
CCCCGUUUACACUGGCAACUAAAUUGAAUCGAUCUUUAUUUGAAUCGAUUUUGAAAGACCAGUUCGCGUUUAAAUCACAAGCAAGAUCGAUCGAGAUCGAUCUUAUUUAAUCCAGUGCGUUUACACUACAACAUAAAAAAACUAUCUGACAUUUGUUUCAUAUCUAAAUAUAGCCUUCAUCUGAAAAAAGAUCGAUUGCGAUCGAUUUAAGCGUUUACACAACGAUCGAUUAAAAAAAGAUCAAUCUUUUAAAACUACCUCUUGAGGUAGACUUUUAAAGUCCGAUUGAAGAUCGAUUUAACCCGUUUACACUUGACCAAAGAUCGAUCUUAAUAAGAUCGAUCUUUUUGUCAUUGUAAACGGGGUCUAUAGGCUUAUACCAUCUAGAUUGUCCAGUGCUUCGAACGACACCUGGAACAACAUUGAAAUGUCUUGUUUAAUAAUUAUAUUUUCCACUUUUAAGACACUUUUCUUUUAUUGAAAGGAAGUUAUCAUUUACCAAUUAUUUUAUUUGCAUAAUCAGACUCCUUCUCACAGUUGUAGCAUUUAGUCAUUUUCGGUUUCCAUUUCUUAAACAAUAAAAAUAAACAUAAACAUAAACAACACAAAAUACAAGACAAACAGAUAAGGAAAUAUCAGUACACUCUUUUUUUUAAAAGAACAAACAUACAUCGCAUAUUAUACAAUAUAUGUAUGAACGUCUCAAUUCGAAUUGUCUUUGUUUCGGACCAUAUGGGUAUUAAGACCAUAUGCCUAUGGUCACGACCAUAUGCGUAUAUUCAUAUAGUCAAACUGUACGCGUAUGGUCGGACCAUAUGAUAGAUAUAAAAAGAUGUUUUAUGAGUGAGUGCCAAUGUGACAACUCUCCUUCCAAAUAACAAUUUAUAAAAGUUAACCAUUAUAGGUCAAGGUACGACCUUUAACAUGUGGCCUUAAGCUUGGCAAACACCGAACAACAAGUGAUUAAGGGCCAAAAAAGGGUUAAAAUAACUAGUGCAAAACUAUUCAAACGGGAAAACUAACGAUUUAGGGAUUGGGUAGAAAAAAAGAAAAAUUUUAAACGAAAGAUAUAUUUAUGUUACUUUGCGCAAAAAG